CACAUUUCGCAUCCGUUCUUUCACUUCGUCAAGAGUCAUUGAAGCCUCAUGCAUGGAAAGAUCAUCUCUCAGUGCUUCCCAUGCAGUGGCAUGCUUUAGUAUUCCUUCACAGAAUGCCACAACAGCGGAAUGUGGAGAGAGAAAAGGGAGUGUAGCAAUAGGUGUUGGGUGCAAUGAACCAACCAUAGCAGCAUGUACUCCUCCCAUGCUAAGUCCACAUAUACCCAUCUUCCCGAAACCCGCUUCACAGUCCAACCAAUGCAAAAGACAACGGGCCUCUUCAAUGGUGGCUCGUCCUAAUAGCAGAAGGUCACUAACACAUAACAGCUUUGACCCACGCUGCAGCAAUGGACGUCUUUUUCCAUAGAAAGGGCUCUCUAGCACCAUAGUUGCUAUAUUUUCCUUCAGUAAUGGACCACCAAGACGCAAUCUUCGCUCAAAAGUAUGAUCUCCCGUACCAGCAAGAUGAACGACACAGGCGGUCUUAUGAGACGGGGUAUAUUUGGGGGUGAGGAAAGCAACCCUUGCAAUGUGAGACUCUGGAGGCAAUGCAGUAAG
rnacentral:misc_RNA from 1 species